rnacentral:rRNA from 1 species
CGUGGUAACCUGCCCAAGAGACUGGGAUAACACCUGGAAACAGAUGCUAAUACCGGAUAACAACACUAGACGCAUGUCUAGAGUUUAAAAGAUGGUUCUGCUAUCACUCUUGGAUGGACCUGCGGUGCAUUAGCUAGUUGGUAAGGUAACGGCUUACCAAGGCAAUGAUGCAUAGCCGAGUUGAGAGACUGAUCGGCCACAUUGGGACUGAGACACGGCCCAAACUCCUACGGAAGGCAGCAG